rnacentral:rRNA from 1 species
UACGUAGGGUGCAAGCGUUAAUCGGAAUUACUGGGCGUAAAGCGUGCGCAGGCGGUUGUGCAAGACAGAUGUGAAAUCCCCGGGCUCAACCUGGGAACUGCAUUUGUGACUGCACGGCUAGAGUGUGUCAGAGGGGGGUAGAAUUCCACGUGUAGCAGUGAAAUGCGUAGAUAUGUGGAGGAAUACCGAUGGCGAAGGCAGGUUACUGGUACGCAACUGACGCUGAGGCACGAAAGCGUGGGGAGCAAACAGG